rnacentral:rRNA from 1 species
UACGGAGGAGGCAAGCGUUGUUCGGAAUUACUGGGCGUAAAGCGUAUGUAGGCGGAUCGUUAAGUCGGGGGUGAAAUCCCGAGGCUCAACCUCGGAACUGCCUUCGAUACUGGCGAUCUUCGAGUCCGGGAGAGGUGAGUGGAACUCCGAGUGUAGAGGUGAAAUUCGUAGAUAUUCGGAAGAACACCAGUGGCGAAGGCGGCUCACUGGCCCGGUACUGACGCUGAAAUACGAAAGCGUGGGGAGCAAACAGG